GACGAACGCUGGCGGCGUGCUUAACACAUGCAAGUCGAACGGAAAGGCCCUGCUUUUGUGGGGUGCUCGAGUGGCGAACGGGUGAGUAACACGUGAGUAACCUGCCCUUGACUUUGGGAUAACUCCAGGAAACUGGGGCUAAUACCGGAUAGGAGCUCCUGCUGCAUGGUGGGGGUUGGAAAGUUUCGGCGGUUGGGGAUGGACUCGCGGCUUAUCAGCUUGUUGGUGGGGUAGUGGCUUACCAAGGCUUUGACGGGUAGCCGGCCUGGGAGGGUGACCGGCCACAUUGGGACUGAGAUACGGCCCAGACUCCUACGGGAGGCAGCAGUGGGGAAUAUUGCACAAUGGGCGGAAGCCUGAUGCAGCAACGCCGCGUGCGGGAUGACGGCCUUCGGGUUGUAAACCGCUUUCGCCUGUGACGAAGCGUGAGUGACGGUAAUGGGUAAAGAAGCACCGGCUAACUACGUG
rnacentral:rRNA from 1 species